GGGAAGGGAACAAAGGGGACAAAGUUAGAACUGCCAGAUUGCUCCAUAGCUGUACGUCUUUUAUACACUGGAGACGUUAAAGAGCGGUCUUUCUUUUGACUGACUACAAAUCUAUUUUCUCCCUUGCGCAUUGGCAUGAUCUCAGGGAAGUCUUCAUCAGAAAUUGCACUAGUAAGAUCUGUCACAUUGUGUAGUUCCGCAACCCUUUUAAACCA
rnacentral:misc_RNA from 1 species